rfam:Gordonia sp. NB4-1Y contig_111, whole genome shotgun sequence.
GACGUCUUUCUUCGUGGGGGAACUCGACCCCCGCAAUCGAUGAUCAUCAGCUUCAUUGAUGAGAUGCGUACCAAAGGUGUUGCGGUCGAGUCGAUCUGCCGAGUCCUGUCUGAGCAGGGCUGUCAGAUCGCCGCA